CUACGGGGUACAGCAGUGAGGAAUAUUGCGCAAUGGGGGAAACCCUGAUGCAGCAACGCCGCGUGGAGGAUGACGCAUUUCGGUGUGUAAACUCCUUUUAUCAGAGAAGAAAAUGACGGUAUCUGAUGAAUAAGCUCCGGCUAACUCCGUGCCAGCAGCCGCGGUAAUACGGAGGGAGCAAGCGUUAUUCGGAAUCACUGGGCGUAAAGGACGCGUAGGCGGGUUUUUAAGUCAGGUGUGAAAUCCUAUGGCUCAACCAUAGAACUGCACUUGAAACUGGGGACCUAGAGUAUGGAAGGGGCAGGUGGAAUUAGUGGUGUAGGGGUAAAAUCCGUAGAUAUCACUAGGAAUACCGAAAGCGAAGGCGACCUGCUGGGACAUUACUGACGCUGAGGCGUGAAAGCGUGGGGAGCAAACAGGAUUAGAUACCCUCGUAGUC
rnacentral:rRNA from 1 species